UUGCGGACAUAUCACGUUGCAACAGGAUCCCAUACGAUCACUGAAGUUAAGCAACAUCGUGCCUGGUCAGUACCUAGAUAGAUUAAUGCUUAGGAAUACCAGGUUCUGUAA